CCCGAGUUAACGGGACCCGAAAUAAACUUAGUCAUAAAUAUUCUCGAACCCGCAAAGUUAACUAGGAAUAUUAAACCUAGUUAAUAAGUGGGGAAUAUUGUUAGAAAUAAGUAGGUUGUUCCCUACUUAAUUAACUAACCAAAUUAGAGGGGCCAAUAUUGUUAAAAUUGAAACUUAACUUUAAUUAAUUAAAUAAAACACACCAAACACCCCACAAGGAGGUGUCUGGUCGUACAAGAAGAACAGGGGGGCGAUCCCCACACAUCAAAACCCUAAAUCUUCACCAAACUUGCAAAUUGAAGGCUCAAUCCAAGUCAAAAUCGAAAAUCAAGCAUAAAUUAUUGAUCCCCAUUGAAAGGGGAGUCAUAAGUUUGACUCUGACAAGCUAGGUAGGAGCUUGGAAAUGAACGGGUCAAAUGGAUACAAGUUCAAGUAUGAAGCUCGCAAGGAUGCAAGGAGUAGAUAUCCAAUGGAUACUCGCAUCGCUCUUAAUUAGCUAUUAUAAAGCAAGGUAUUAAACCGGGUUAGUAAGUUGAUCCGAGCCAGGUAUGUAUAAUAGAUUAACUCAUCAUGUAGAACUUGAAGUUCUAUGAAAGUUAGGCAAAAUAAAAAAAAGGGCAUUCGGUUACCUUAAUAGGUAAACCGAAGGAUUUAAAUUAUUUAGACAGAAUGUUUUGAAAACAAGAUUUGGUUAAAAAUGAGAAAUUAGAAUCAAACAACAGGUUUGUUUGAUAAAAUCACGAACGGGUCAAAUUUGGUAAAAAGGGUUAAUAAGCCGAAGACUUAAAAGUCUUAAAAUUUUGUUAAUCCAGAUGUUGGGUCUUGACUCCAUUUGAUGGAGGUUCAAUUUACAAUCACGUAGGAAGAAACGGUAGGUCAAACAGACGAGCGGUUUGAAAGAUACGAAAGUUUUCGUGUCAAAAACGGCAAAAAGGAAAGGAAUGAUGCAGGGGCCACCGUAACUUACGGUGCCACCGUAAGUUACGGUGGACAUGAUUUGGUUACGGUAAAUGCCUACUGUUGUACGGUUGAAUAAUUGAAACACAGAGACCACCGUAACUUACGGUGCCACCGUAACUUACGGUGGAGGUCAGAAAUGAGUUUUUAUUUUGGGUUUAAGAUAUCCAUGUGGGAUUUUCCUAAUUUCCCCAUUGUAUUAGUUUAAUUAAUUAUCAAAACUGACCUUUAAGUUGGUUUUGAUCACAGGUGAAUGUCGAGGGUCCCGGAUGAAGAUCGAGCAUCGAGCAAGAACCGAACACACAUUAAAUAAAGCUUCCGCAACGUUGUUUUGUCGUUAUUCUAAACGGUGAUUUAAAUCACAUUAUGUAUAUCACUUAAAUUGUAAAAGUUUUUAAUAAACCCGCAUUUUGUACAGUA